GAGUCUGUAAGGACCGUGCAGCCCUGGUGGCAGAUGCUGGUGAUGAAGGACAUUCUCCAGGAGCUUUUCCCUUUCUGACCUAAGUUUCCAGCCACUUGCUGCUUUCUCAUUUGGUAUGAGGGGCUGGGGUUCUGGUUAGCUUUACCAGUCAACAACACACCUUAGAGUCCCUGAGAAGGGAGACUUGUGGACCUAUCUGUAUGGAUUUAUCUUGAUUGCUGAUAGAUGGGGGACAGUCCAGCCUACUGUGGGCAGCCCCACUUCCAGAGCACUGGAGUUUCUAAUAGUUCCUCGAAAUGUUGCUCCCAUCUACUUAAAUGCAACAAAGGGCAGAAGAACAUGUAGAACACAGUGCUGGAGAAAGCAAGGUUCUAUUGGAUCUUAUCGUGCCAUCGUGAUGAGCAAGGGUUAUGUACCAUGAAUGGCAACACCAUGUUCGUGGUCUUCAGAUGCAUAUGGUAAAGGCCCAUAAUGGAGCAUGAAGUCUGGCUGCUUCCUCUGCACAACUCCUCUGCACUUUUAUAAGAUUAGGAAGUAACUGUUUCAAAGUUGAACUGCUGGCAGCUUUGUGGGAAAUUUAUAGAUUUUAAACAUGGCCAUUUAUUUCUAUGUGGAAAAAUUACAAACAAGAGUAACACAUAGAAUUAUUACACAAAUUAUACUGGCCUGAUUUCUUAGAAUAACCACUACUCCAGAUGUUCUUGUUCUGCAAGAGAAAUAUUCAUUGGAAAAUAAAUUGCACAUUUAGAAUGUGAA